AAGUGGGUUCACACCAGGAACUGAAUCUGCAAGCACCUUGAUCUUGGACUUCCCAGACACCAGAACUAUCCAUCUCCAGGAUCACAGCUGAAGGGCCCAGGAGAACCAAGCGCAACCGAGGAAAACUAGACAAGUGCAGUGUGACCCAGAGGCCAGCGUCUGCAGUGGGAGGCAGCACAGAUCCCAAAACACAAGACCAUUUCCCAGAGAUAAGGGAAUGAGGACUAGAAGAUAAAUAUGUACAAUUAUCAAUUGUAAAAUCAAAGUUUGACCUCUACCAUGGACCAGCGUUAACAGAUUGCCAGAUUGGAGCUGAAGCAAAAGACCAGUUUAAGAAAGAAAGACCAAGAAGAAGAUGGCUACCUUCCUGGUGAAGCCACAGGACCAAGGUGCAAGUUACAGAUAUGUGAGAGCGAAAUACUCCAGGAUAUUCAAUUCUAGGAUUCUACAUUACCAGAUUUAGCCCUCCAGAUAGCUUUUAUCCUGAUGGCUGUCUCUAGUUAUCACUUUCUUUGAAAAUCCAAUAGAGCACUGGCAGCCCCAGGGUUUUCUAGAGGACCAAGAUUAUUGCGAAUACUGAUCUCUUCUCUCUUCGUCCUAGAGAUUCUCAACCUGUUGAAGAAGCAGUGGACUCAGGGGCCCUCUUUAGGGUGGUUUGGUUACUCUGGGCCCUUCCCCUCCACGAGAAGUGCCCAGGUAGGAGCACUUAGCUGUCAUUCCAAGGUGACUGCUGAAUCAUCCGAGAUCCUUGAAUUUUGGGGGCCACUGUCCUGAUAAAUGCAAAACAAGACAAAAACACCCUUCCCUUUAUAGUUUUAACUGCAACCUUAUGGCAGAGGACUUCUAAAUCUAAGACUCCAACUCAGACUUCAUUCUCAAUCCAGAAACAUAUUACCAGCUGCUUUUUAGACGUUCCAACCAGGGUCCCAUGGAAUUUGGGUCCAAAUUGUGUGAACUAUUUAAGAAUAUGAACUUAACCUACCUGGGCUUGAAUCCCAAUGUCACCACUUAAUAUCUGUAUAACCUACAGUAACUUUGAUUCCUCACAAUGUAUAUUGUGAUGGAACAUUAGGUUGUGAUGAAGACUAAGUGUGUUUGUAUACAUAAAACAUCUGGUACAACACCUGCACGAAGUUAAUGCCACAUAAAUGUUA